rnacentral:rRNA from 1 species
CCUACGGGAGGCAGCAGUGAGGAAUAUUGCACAAUGGGCGAAAGCCUGAUGCAGCAACGCCGCGUGAGGGAUGAAGUCCGUUAGGAUGUAAACCUCUUUUGCAGGGGAUGAAACCGCCGCUACAGGCGGCGGAUGACCGUACCCUGCGAAUAAGGAUCGGCUAACUACGUGCCAGCAGCCGCGGUAAUACGUAGGAUCCGAGCGUUGUCCGGAAUUACUGGGUGUAAAGGGCGUGUAGGUGGGUCUUUAAGUCGGUGGUGAAAUCUUGCGGCUCAACCGCAAAACUGCCGUCGAUACUGGGGACCUUGAGUGCGGAAGAGGGAAAUGGAAUUCAUGGUGUAGCGGUGAAAUGUGUAGAUAUCAUGAAGAACACCAGUUGCGAAGGCGGUUUCCUGGUCCGCUACUGACACUGAGGCGCGAAAGCGUGGGGAGCAAACAGGAUUAGAUACCCUGGUAGUCCACGCCCUAAACGAUGGGUACUAGGUGCUGGGCCGCAAGGCUCAGUGCCAAAGCUAACGCAUUAAGUACCCCACCUGGGGAGUACGAUCGCAAGGUUGAAACUCAAAGGAAUUGACGG